rnacentral:rRNA from 5 species
AUUGCCCUAGUAACGGCGAGUGAAGCGGCAACAGCUCAAAUUUGAAAUCUGGCUUCGGCCCGAGUUGUAAUUUGUAGAGGAAGCUUUUGGUGAGGCACCUUCUGAGUCCCCUGGAACGGGGCGCCAUAGAGGGUGAGAGCCCCGUAUAGUCGGAUGCCGAUCCAAUGUAAAGCUCCUUCGACGAGUCGAGUAGUUUGGGAAUGCUGCUCAAAAUGGGAGGUAAAUUUCUUCUAAAGCUAAAUACCGGCCAGAGACCGAUAGCGCACAAGUAGAGUGAUCGAAAGAUGAAAAGCACUUUGAAAAGAGGGUUAAAUAGCACGUGAAAUUGUUGAAAGGGAAGCGUUUGUGACCAGACUUGCGCCGUUCCGAUCAUCCGGUGUUCUCACCGGUGCACUCGGGACGGCUCAGGCCAGCAUCGGUUUUGGCGGGGGGAUAAAGGUCCGGGGAACGUAGCUCCUCCGGGAGUGUUAUAGCCCCGGGCGUAAUGCCCUCGCCGGGACCGAGGUUCGCGCAUCUGCAAGGAUGCUGGCGUAAUGGUCAUCAACGACCCGUCUUGAAACACGGACCAAGGAGUCAAGGUUUUGCGCGAGUGUUUGGGUGUAAAACCCGCACGCGUAAUGAAAGUGAACGUAGGUGAGAGCUUCGGCGCAUCAUCGACCGAUCCUGAUGUAUUCGGAUGGAUUUGAGUAAGAGCGUUAAGCCUUGGACCCGAAAGAUGGUGAACUAUGCUUGGAUAGGGUGAAGCCAGAGGAAACUCUGGUGGAGGCUCGCAGCGGUUCUGACGUGCAAAUCGAUCGUCAAAUCUGAGCAUGGGGGCGAAAGACUA